AUGCAAGUCGAACGGAGCUUAGAGAGCUUGCUUUUUAAGCUUAGUGGCGAACGGGUGAGUAACGCGUGAGCAACCUUUCCCAGACAGGGGAAUAACACACCGAAAGGUGUACUAAUACCGCAUAAGACCACGGGAUCACAUGGUUCUGGGGUAAAAGAUUUAUCGGUUUGGGGUGGGCUCGCGUCCGAUUAGGUAGUUGGUGAGGUAACGGCCCACCAAGCCGACGAUCGGUAGCCGACCAGAGAGGGUGAUCGGCCACAUUGGGACUGAGACACGGCCCAAACUCCUACGGGAGGCAGCAGUGGGGAAUAUUGGGCAAUGGGGGGAACCCUGACCCAGCAACGCCGCGUGGAGGAAGAAGGUUUUCGGAUCGUAAACUCCUGUCCUUGGAGACGAGUAGAAGACGGUAUCCAAGGAGGAAGCCCCGGCUAACUACGUGCCAGCAGCCGCGGUAAUACGUAGGGGGCAAGCGUUGUCCGGAAUAAUUGGGCGUAAAGGGCGCGUAGGCGGCUCGGUAAGUCUGGAGUGAAAGUCCUGCUUUUAAGGUGGGAAUUGCUUUGGAUACUGUCGGGCUUGAGUGCAGGAGAGGUUAGUGGAAUUCCCAGUGUAGCGGUGAAAUGCGUAGAUAUUCGGAGGAACACCAGUGGCGAAGGCGGCUUGCUGGGCUUUAACUGACGCUGAGGCUCGAAAGUGUGGGGAGCAAACAGGAUUAGAUACCCUGGUAGU
rnacentral:rRNA from 1 species